rnacentral:piRNA from 1 species
AGCAUAGUCUUGAGCAUCACACAUUUAAAC